CAAACUCAAAUGAUUUGUUAAUCAUUGCAAUUAAUAAAUUACCACAUGGAAAGCUAAGAUCAUCGAUGGACAACAGACUUUCCUCUGUACCCCAGGAAAAUUUGCAACCUUUCAUUGUAUAAUAUAGAAUAAUGGAUGAUUCCAUAUCAUAAAUAGAAUUGAGAUAACUAAUAAUUUUAUAGAAAACAGAACUAAAGAGACUUGAAGAAGAUCAAUGGAAAUUUAAGAAAUAUAAUUCUUCAUUUUAUAUUUUAUUAGAGAGGGAAUUCCUUUUAUAAAACGCUGAUGACGUUUGUCUUUCUGACAUUGUAACAAUUAUUAAUUUUAGUAUGACUAUUCUUGGAUGUUAUAAAACAUGUGCAUCAAGCGUCAAAAUAUACUUUCUACGAAGAACUUAUUUAGUUUCCUAGAAACUAACCAGAGAAUAUCGAUGGAAUGAAGCUAUAUUUGCGAUUUAGUUUGCAGUAUCAAGGAAGAAAAGUUCUUUGUUACCAUUCGAUAAGCUCUUCUGCCUCUCCAGGUCACGAUAAUAAACAUUAUUGUUCAAACAAACUGAGUAAAUGUAAAACAAAUGUUUGCAUUCGGCCGGGAGUAGCUGGUUUUUCUCGAUAAGGUUGCAAUGUUAUGUUGCUAAUUCUCGAUACUUACCAUAAGAAGUAGUUGAUUUAAAUUAAGUAUCUGAUGGUCUAAUUAAAUUAAAUUGAAAUUAAAACGUGGAUUCACGUUUUCAAUUACAUGUAACACUUGAGGAUAUAACUAUCUCGAAUUAGAAAUUUAAAAUUAAAUUAAUUAACUUACUAUAAGAUACAACGUGUAAGAAUCCAAAAUAGCAAAGAGACAGCAGAAAAUAGCGGUGAUCGCUGUGGUUGUGUAUCGAACGUGUAAAAUGGAUAGACCAUAUCUGAAAAUUUUCAGAAAUCGUUUUACGAUACCAGAAAGUCAUUAACAAUAAUAAAAAAAAAAAUUUUUCAAACACGAAACUGACCUAUAAAGAUACGUGAAUUUCCACGCUCGUGAUAAACCAAUCGCAGCGAAUAUUCCAGUAGUGUAAGCAACGCCAAAACCAUCCUUAACUUCGGUGUUUCGAUGCAGGAUCCAGCAGUAAAGGAUAGCUACUAUCGUGAUGA